AUUACACAUUUCAUUCACAAGAAACUCUUUCUUCCUCUUUACCCAAUAAGAUACACAGCCCAGAGAGCUGAAGGGUUUAGCACUAUCUGGUCUAACAAUACUGUGGGUGUGGGUGGGUGUCCGUCCUAUCGCUCUUCCCUCCUCAGAGACAGCAAAGACAACUGCCCCCAAUUUAACCCCAGCUGUCCCCACCCACCCAACCUCACCUCGUCACAAUCCACAACAAGCCUCAAGGGUCAGGGUUCACUAAGCCCUGCCACCCACCCCCCCAUCAUGCCCGGUGUGUGUCAGUCAGGUCUUUUUUCCAGACCCCCCCCCCCCCCCCCUCCCCACAUACACACAGUCCUAACACGUGUAGCUGUGUGUCAGUCAUGUCUUUCCAGACCCCCCCCUCCCCACAUACACACAGUCUAACACGUGUAGCUGUGUGUCAGUCAUGU
rnacentral:lncRNA from 1 species